ensembl:lncRNA
AUUGAGUGAAUCAUGAAAAGUGGGUGCUCCACACUAAAAUAGAGCAAAAUAUAUAAAUGCAAGAUCUACCAGGAAUGUGUAUUAAAAUUUAAUUACGUUCAUUGAAACAUAUCUGAGAAGUGCUUUACUGUGGUAAAUUAGUCAAGGCUGAGGUGUGUUACAAUAAAGCCCCUUUCACACUGAGAUUGCGGAUAAUACACGGGUAAUGUGUCCCGGCAAUCGUUCCCAGAUAGAAGGCGAUCCGGCAAUUUUCCGGGACCAACGUGCAGUGUGAAAGGGGCUUAAGGCACCAUCAUAGGAUGAAGAGUGUGGUUGCAGAGGUCAGUCUCAGCAGCAAGAUCUCACUGAGGAAGAGGAGGAGGAAGACUUGCAUGUUGUCCCUUUCUCCGAGAAAACAACACAGAGCUCAUGCAGUCCACUCAAACCUCUUCUUUCUAAACUCCUACAGUUGUUCUAUUUUUCUCCGUGUCCUUUGAAAUGACCUCAGAUUAGGUGCCAGUGCACACUGUGUGUAAAAGAAACUGUGUGGUAUGAUUUUGUGUGUUUGGAAAUGGGUGUGUGUGAUUGUACAACCAUCUAUACUGGAUUAUUAACAAGAGGGAGGGACCCUAUGAUGUCACACUGUAGUUGUUAAACCUUUAGCUUAUCUCUCUGUCUCUCUCGCUACACCAUUUCAGCACACUCCAUUUAUCUUCUUAGCUGCAUCUUUUUCUUUGACUCAGUUCAGUGUUUGGGCUCAACUUUAUUUGAAAAUCAUUAAGUAGUCACUGUAAUAAUAUCACAAAGCAGGAUUUGGGACCAUCAUUAAAAAUCUUUCACAAGUGUCCUGGCCAAAAUGGGCAGCAAUACAAUCCGUUUCAUCACAAAUGAACAAAAAUUAACAAACUAAGAACACUUAAAACAACUACACAUUAUUGAAUCAUCUUCCAUUUGCAGAAUAACCAUUUUAAAAUUUCCCAAAGACAGUAAAUUUAGUAAUUUCAAUUUCGAUACAUUUGUGGAGUUAUCGAAUAUUUUUGCAUAAUGUUUAUACUAUUCUUGUAUUAUUUACAUUAACAGCAUAGCGCAUAAGCAACUCCAUCUAAGAUAAACCAAUGUAUUACAACUAAAUUAAAUAAAAAUAAAUGUAAUUAAAAAAAUAAAACUGUA